UUUUUUUGUUGUUUUUUUG
rnacentral:sRNA from 1 species